GCCAAUGAUGAUCCAGUCCGCAUUGUUUGAGGUGUGGUGGAGCCAAGACCCUGAUUUUUCAGGGAGAACCUACUUGGUGGAAGCUAUAAUUCACUGAUGUUAAUGGAUUUAACUGAGGC